GUCGAGCGGUAAGGCCCUUUCGGGGGUACACGAGCGGCGAACGGGUGAGUAACACGUGGGUGACCUGCCCUCCACUCUGGGAUAAGCCCGGGAAACUGGGUCUAAUACCGGAUAGGACCACUGAUCGCAUGGUUGGUGGUGGAAAGUUUUUUCGGUGGGGGAUGGGCCCGCGGCCUAUCAGCUUGUUGGUGGGGUGAUGGCCUACCAAGGCGGUGACGGGUAGCCGGCCUGAGAGGGCGACCGGCCACACUGGGACUGAGACACGGCCAGACUCCUACGGGAGGCAGCAGUGGGGAAUAUUGCGCAAUGGGCGGAAGCCUGACGCAGCGACGCCGCGUGGGGGAUGACGGCCUUCGGGUUGUAAACCUCUUUCGCCAGGGACGAAGAGCAAUUGACGGUACCUGGAGAAGAAGCACCGGCCAACUACGUGCCAGCAGCCGCGGUAACACGUAGGGUGCGAGCGUUGUCCGGAAUUAUUGGGCGUAAAGAGCUCGUAGGCGGUGUGUCGCGUCGGCCGUGAAAACUUGGGGCUUAACUCUGAGCGUGCGGUCGAUACGGGCAUCACUUGAGUUCGGCAGGGGAGACUGGAAUUCCUGGUGUAGCGGUGAAAUGCGCAGAUAUCAGGAGGAACACCGGUGGCGAAGGCGGGUCUCUGGGCCGAUACUGACGCUGAGGAGCGAAAGCGUGGGGAGCGAACAGGAUUAGAUACCCUGGUAGUCCACGCCGUAAACGUUGGGCGCUAGGUGUGGGGACCAUUCCACGGUUUCUGUGCCGCAGCUAACGCAUUAAGCGCCCCGCCUGGGGAGUACGGCCGCAAGGCUAAAACUCAAAGGAAUUGACGGGGGCCCGCACAAGCGGCGGAGCAUGUGGAUUAAUUCGAUGCAACGCGAAGAACCUUACCUGGGUUUGACAUGCACCAGACAUCCCUAGAGAUAGGGCUUCCCUUGUGGUUGGUGUGCAGGUGGUGCAUGGCUGUCGUCAGCUCGUGUCGUGAGAUGUUGGGUUAAGUCCCGCAACGAGCGCAACCCUUGUUCCAUGUUGCCAGCACGUAAUGGUGGGGACUCAUGGGAGACUGCCGGGGUCAACUCGGAGGAAGGUGGGGAUGACGUCAAGUCAUCAUGCCCCUUAUGUCCAGGGCUUCACACAUGCUACAAUGGCUCAUACAGAGGGCUGCGAGACCGUGAGGUGGAGCGAAUCCCUUAAAGUGAGUCUCAGUUCGGAUCGGGGUCUGCAACUCGACCCCGUGAAGUUGGAGUCGCUAGUAAUCGCAGAUCAGCAACGCUGCGGUGAAUACGUUCCCGGGCCUUGUACACACCGCCCGUCACGUCACGAAAGUUGGUAACACCCGAAGCCGGCGGCCCAACCCUUGUGGAGGGAGCUGUCGAA
rnacentral:rRNA from 1 species